CCUACGGGAGGCAGCAGUGAGGAAUAUUGGUCAAUGGACGGAAGCCUGAACCAGCGAUGCCGCGUGCAGGAAGACGGCUUUAGGAGUUGUAAACUGUUUUUGUACAAGGGUAAACCUGAAUACGUGUAUUCAGCUGAAAGUACUGUACGAAUAAGGAUCGGCUAACUCUGUGCCAGGAGCCGCGGUAAUACGGAGGAUCCAAGCGUUAUCCGGAUUUAUUGGGUUUAAAGGGUGCGUAGGCGGAUUGAUAAGUUAGAGGUGAAAUGUCCGGGCUUAACUCGGGAACUGCCUUUAAUACUGUUGAUCUAGAGAGUAGGUGCGGUAGGCGGAAUGUAUGGUGUAGCGGUGAAAUGCUUAGAGAUCAUACAGAACACCGGUUGCGAAGGCAGCUUACCAAUCUAUAUCUGACGUUGAGGCACGAAAGCGUGGGGAGCAAACAGGAUUAGAUACCCUAGUAGUC
rnacentral:rRNA from 1 species